AGUUUUAAGAGUUUGAUCCUGGCUCAGGACGAACGCUGGCGGCGUGCCUAACACAUGCAAGUCGAACGAAGCUUGACGAUAGAUUUCUUCGGAAUGAAAUCUGAUAUGACUGAGUGGCGGACGGGUGAGUAACGCGUGAGCAACCUGCCCUUCGGAGGGGGAUAGUGUCUGGAAACGGACAGUAAUACCGCAUAACGUAUUUUUACCGCAUGAUAGAAAUACCAAAACUGAGGUGCCGAAGGAUGGGCUCGCGUUGGAUUAGAUAGUUGGUGGGGUAACGGCCUACCAAGUCGACGAUCAGUAGCCGGACUGAGAGGUUGAACGGCCACA
rnacentral:rRNA from 1 species